CCCACUCACUGGCCUAACAGAGGGUUUAAUUAAACUUCUUGAACAUCGCCGUGGCCAGGAUGGCGCAUAUAUUGGAUGCAUGAAGUCAGGAGAUGUGAUAUCAGAAGAGGGAAAGCCUUGGUAUGAACCUGAUUGGUGGAAAUUUGGGGAUGAAAAAUCGUAUUUCCGACAUGCAUCUGGUUCACUUGUUAUACUUUCAAAGAAUUUGGCACAGUACAUUAACAUAAACAGUGUAUCUUUGAAGACAUAUGCUUAUAAAACUACCUAUUCCAAAG